rnacentral:rRNA from 1 species
AGCAGCCGCGGUAAUUCCAGCUCCAAUAGCGUAUAUUAAAGUUGUUGCAGUUAAAAGCUCGUAGUUGAAUUUCGGGAUCAAUAUAUCGGUCGUGCCUUUGGUACGUACUGGUAUCAUUGAUUUCUCCUUUCUGACGAAUCAUGAUGUCAUUAAUUUGGUGUUAUGAGGAGUUAGGACUGUUACUUUGAAAAAAUUAGAGUGUUUAAAGCAGGCAUUAGCUUGAAUACAUUAGCAUGGAAUAAUGAAAUAGGACGUUUGACCCUAUUUUGUUGGUUUUUAGGAUCGACGUAAUGAUUAAUAGGGAUAGUUGGGGGCAUUAGUAUUCAAUUGUCAGAGGUGAAAUUCUUGGAUUUAUUGAAGACUAACUACUGCGAAAGCAUUUUGCCAAAGGAUGUUUUUCAUUUAAUCAAGAACGAAAGUUAGGGGAUCGAAGACGAUCAGAUACCGUCGUAGUCUUAACCAUAAACUAUGCCGACUAGGGAUCGGAUGAUGUUAAUUUUAUAAUGACUCAUUCGGCGCC